rnacentral:misc_RNA from 1 species
GUGAAUCAUCGAAUUUUUGAACGCAAAUUGCGCCUUUUUCGGAAGGCAUGUCUGUUUGAGGGCACCAUUUAACAAAUAAUGUGCAUGCUGUGUGUAUUUUUACGCACACGUGCACACGUUGAUGAGCUUUUCCAUAUAAAGCAAUUUUUUUGGUUGCACGUAAUGGACAGCGUGUGCUUUCCUCUAAUUUUUCU